GUAGGUGAACCUGCGGAAGGAUCAUUACCAUAUCCAAAACUUUACCAACCCACCGUGUGAACUGUAGUGUUGGGCGUAGCAGCUCGACCUAUUUAAUUUUACCAACCGCGAUGCUACUCGUGGUCGUUAAACCACCACGAGCAGCCAUUUGCCGGUUGGUAAAUGUAACAACCCCUUUGUGAAACCACACUUGAAUGAAACCUGACUUGUGAGGCCUUUCGUGUAACACUGAAGGCAACACAACAAGAAA
rnacentral:misc_RNA from 1 species